rnacentral:lncRNA from 1 species
CACCGCAACCCAAUGAAGUGUGCCUUCGGUUUAUCUUUCGACAAAGUCUUGGUCUUCAUGAUCAGCCAAUGAGAUAUUAAGUCUAACCCAGAAAAACUGGUGAACAUACAAGUGCCAAAGACACAAAAGUAUAUCAAAGGCAACAAAGGAUUACAUGAGCAAGGCACCACUGCUCUUUAAACCACUCCCUAGUGAGGGCCUCAUCAUCUACCUCUCAG